rnacentral:rRNA from 1 species
UACGGAAGGCAGCAGUGGGGAAUAUUGCACAAUGGGCGCAAGCCUGAUGCAGCCAUGCCGCGUGUAUGAAGAAGGCCUUCGGGUUGUAAAGUACUUUCAGCGGGGAGGAAGGCGAUGCGGUUAAUAACCGCGUCGAUUGACGUUACCCGCAGAAGAAGCACCGGCUAACUCCGUGCCAGCAGCCGCGGUAAUACGGAGGGUGCAAGCGUUAAUCGGAAUUACUGGGCGUAAAGCGCACGCAGGCGGUCUGUUAAGUCAGAUGUGAAAUCCCCGGGCUUAACCUGGGAACUGCAUUUGAACUGGCAGGCUUGAGUCUUGUAGAGGGGGUAGAAUUCCAGGUGUAGCGGUGAAAUGCGUAGAGAUCUGGAGGAAUACCGGUGGCGAAGGCGGCCCCUGGGACAAGACUGACGCUCAGGUGCGAAAGCGUGGGGAGCAAACGAGGAUUAGAUACC